rnacentral:rRNA from 1 species
GUUAAGAUGCAGACUCUGUCUAACGGUGUCGUCUGAUCUUGGAAGAUAAGAAGGGUCAGGCCUGGUUAGUACUUGGAUGGGUGACCACCUAGGAAGACCGGGUGCUAUAGGCA